UGACCGUCCGCGCCUGUCCAGUCCCGCGGCGGAGUGGCCGGAGCAUUUCUAGUAAAGCGAAGUAGGGAGUAUCGCGGUCACCUUGCCCUGUAAAGGAGUUCUUCAGGUCUGAAUGGGCCCAUGGAAUUGCGACAGCCAUUGUGCCACCAGACUGAGAGUGAAGCCGGUACUAAAGGUGACAGAGCAGACAGAUGGAAGGAACCUCGUUCCUCGGUGACACACUGAGCGGUGGAGCUCACCCUACUUGAACUUCUCGUUAUGUGGGAUUAUAAAUGUCUGGUGGUUUAAACCCCUGGAAUCAGGGUUUUCUAUUACUUGCAGCCAACUGAAACAAGAAUUUAAGAUGCAAGCAGUAACCUUGGCAUUUCUUAUCACAAAAAAUCCAUAUGAGAAAGCUGGCAGGCCCAGGGAACUUCCUGGGCGGAGAGGUUUUUCUGUCAAAGCUGGCAGGGUUUGGUCAUCUGCCAUCUUCAGAGUUUGACCAUUGAGCCGGACAGAUCUGCAAAGGGGAAAGGGGCUUCCCUGGUGAAGCAGUGGUUGAGAAUCUGCCUGCCAAUACAGGGGACAUGGGUUUGAGCCCCGAUCUGGGAAGAUCCCACAUGCCACGAAGCAACCAAGUUCAUGUGCCACAACUCCUGAGCCUGUGCUCUAGAGUCUGGGAGCCACAACUACUGAGCCUGCGUGUUGCAACUACUGAAGCCUGUGCACGUAGAGCCCGUGCUCCGCUACAAGAGAAGCCACCAAGCCACCGCAAUGAGAAAACCCACAAGGAAGGGUAGUCUUCCACUCUCCACAACUAGAGAAGGCACG